rnacentral:rRNA from 1 species
UACGUAGGCAGCGAGCGUUGUUCGGAGUUACUGGGCGUAAAGCGUGCGUAGGCGGUUUUGUAAGUUUGGUGUGAAAUCUCCCGGCUCAACUGGGAGGGUGCGCCGAAAACUGCAAGGCUGGAGUAUGGGAGAGGUAGGCGGAAUUCCUGGUGUAGCGGUGAAAUGCGUAGAUAUCAGGAGGAACACCUGUGGUGUAGACGGCUUUCUGGACCAUAGCUGACGCUGAGACACGAAAGCGUGGGUAGCAAACAGG